rnacentral:rRNA from 1 species
AUUGAACGCUGGCGGCAUGCCUUACACAUGCAAGUCGAACGGUAACAGGUUAAGCUGACGAGUGGCGAACGGGUGAGUAAUGUAUCGGAACGUGCCCAGUCGUGGGGGAUAACUGCUCGAAAGAGCAGCUAAUACCGCAUACGACCUGAGGGUGAAAGCGGGGGAUCGCAAGACCUCGCGCGAUUGGAGCGGCCGAUAUCAGAUUAGGUAGUUGGUGAGGUAAAGGCUCACCAAGCCGACGAUCUGUAGCUGGUCUGAGAGGACGACCAGCCACACUGGGACCGAGACACGGCCCAGACUCCUACGGGAGGCAGCAGUGGGGAAUUUUGGACAAUGGGCGCAAGCCUGAUCCAGCCAUGCCGCGUGCGGGAAGAAGGCCUUCGGGUUGUAAACCGCUUUUGUCAGGGAAGAAAAGGUUCUGGCUAAUACCUGGGACUCAUGACGGUACCUGAAGAAUAAGCACCGGCUAACUACGUG